rnacentral:rRNA from 1 species
AUGGCGCAGAAUGUCGAGGAGGAAGAGCCAAGAAACCGAGUUGAACGUGCGGGCGAUGUCGAACUUGAGCAUGACACGAGACAACUUGAGAUUGUGAAGCCGGCGCGCCGUUUGUUGCACGAGGAGGAAGUUGUCGUGGAUGCAUCUGCCGAUGAUGAAAGCACUUUGGUUCAUCGAGAUCAUCUCGCCAAGGCGCGGGGCGAGGCGCAGGGAGAGAACCUUGGCCCCAAGCUUGGCAAUGAUGUGAAUAAGGCUGAUGGGGUGGUAAUCUGUAGUACAAGCCGCAUCAGGGCGCUUGGGGAGCAGCAUGACGAAGGCCUCGUUGAGCUUCUGGAAGCCACAACCGUUGAGAGAGUAGAGCUUGGCAAACAUAGCACAGAUGCCGUGCUUAAUGAUAUCUCAGCAAGCGCAUAG